GAUGAACGCUGGCGGCGUGCCUAAUACAUGCAAGUCGAGCGAACAGACGAGGAGCUUGCUCCUCUGACGUUAGCGGCGGACGGGUGAGUAACACGUGGAUAACCUACCUAUAAGACUGGGAUAACUUCGGGAAACCGGAGCUAAUACCGGAUAAUAUAUUGAACCGCAUGGUUCAAUAGUGAAAGACGGUUUUGCUGUCACUUAUAGAUGGAUCCGCGCCGCAUUAGCUAGUUGGUAAGGUAACGGCUUACCAAGGCAACGAUGCGUAGCCGACCUGGGAGGGUGAUCGGCCACACUGGAACUGAGACACGGUCCAGACUCCUACGGGAGGCAGCGGUAGGGAAUCUUCCACAAUGGGCGAAAGCCUGACGGAGCAACGCCGCGUGGGUGAUGAAGGUCUUCGGAUCGUAAAACUCUGUUAUUAGGGAAGAACAAAUGUGUAAGUAACUAUGCACGUCUUGACGGUACCUAAUCAGAAAGCCACGGCUAACUACGUG
rnacentral:rRNA from 1 species